CUUAUGGAGAGUUUGAUCCUGGCUCAGGACGAACGCUGGCGGCAUGCCUAAUACAUGCAAGUCGAGCGAAUGACGAAG
rnacentral:rRNA from 1 species